UUGGGACGAGUGACACUGGUGCAUCAGCACUGUGCCGAGAGCUCAAGAGGGAAACCUCGUAUGGGUGCGUGUAUUGCUUUAAGAAAGAAUCACGUGACCGUUACAGGAACUGUAUCGUUUGGAUGUGCCGCGCCAAAGUGUGUUUAUCAGGAAACAAACUGUCGUGGUUUUUUUGGAUGGAGAUUUGCUUAAUCAUGGAUCGUCCUAGGAGGUGUUCCCCGGUGAGGAAUAAUUCUGAUCUCGUGACACUAAACAAGGUAAAUCUUUUUCUCCUUUAUAUACUAUUUUUUACGGUGGCGCAUUGCACUCACUUUAUCAGUUUAUCAAGUUGAUGACCUCUGAUACAUAUGAUAGUCGGUUAAAGAGCCUUACAGUUGCUUUAUUCAUGUGAUCAUGUAAUUAUGAGAUCCUGAUCUCGUAAUCAUGAGAUAGGGUGUCUAUUUUUUUAACAAGUGAAUGCAAUGUUCUUGUAAGAGGUUUGAAUUGUUUUCAGAUAAAUUAACGUUUUAUGUUAUUGUAGGUGAAGUGUCAGCUCUGCUUCACAGAGCUAUCUUAUAUCAAUAAGAGCAUUUCAUCAAUGCUGAGGCAUUAUAGAGCUCAGCAUGGCAAUGAAGAAUUGGCAGAUACUCGUGAGAGUACCCCAGUUCCUAACAAGCAAGCAGUGGAUGAGGCAGUGGUCAAUAUGAUCAUCAAAGACUGUCAGCCACUCAGCUUUGUUGAAAAUGAGGGAUUCAGGGAGCUCCUUAAGCUUAUUGUACCCCUGUAUGCUCUACCAAGCAGGAAGGUAUGUUUAAGAAUUUUUAUUAUAUGUUUGUACUAACUAUAUAACUAUAUUUUAUUGGUGUAACAGUAUUUGUAUGGUUAUUUUCAGCCAGAGAUAUGAGGAGGAAAAGGAGAAAAAACCAAAAAGGACCUCCAGAGUGCCGUUGCUGUUACUUUAACAGCUGAUAUGUGGACGUCUAUGAAUAUGGAGGCAUAUCUAGCUGUUACUGGCCACUAUGUGGACAAAGAAAGUCAUGAACUCCAUUCAUCAUUCUUGGCAGUGCAGCAUUUUCCUCAGAAACACACUGCAGAAAACAUUGCCACGGUUAAAAGGAGCCUCAUGGAGGAGUGGGGAAUAGCAUAAAAGGUCAGGUGUCUUGUCACUGAUGCAGCAGCAAACAUGACUGCAUGUGCUCGAAUGCUGCAAAUACGGCAUACCAAUUGUAUAGUCCAUUCUCUGAAUUUAAUUGUGAGAAAAUCAUGUAAUCAAAUCCCAACAAUAACUGAAAUACGCAACAAAACACGACACAUUGUGACAUACUUUUGAUCGAGCGAGACUGCUAAAGAGAAGCUCACUCAAAUACAGCAACAGCUGGGAACACCGGGCCAUAAAUGAAUAAAAACGAGGUGCCAUAAUGAUGGAACAGUACCUACCAAAUGUUUGAAAGAAUGACUGAGCAGAAGGAGGCAGUCUGGGUGUCACUGGCCUCAUUAAAACCUGACAUCACUCCACUGACUCCAGAAGAAUGUCAGAUCAUUAGAUUAGAUUAGAUUUAUUUAUUAAUCCCACGAAUGGGAAAUUUCCUUGUCACAGUAGCAUGGAGUUUGGCACAAGUAUGUACAGACAGUAAUGACAAAUACACAUUUUGAAAGAAUAUAUACGAAAAUAAGAGUGUUCUGAAAAAUAAACAGGGAAAGAGAUGUGCAGGAAUAUAGAAGUCAUCUGUAUAUACAGUUUUGGUACAGUGGAAUAAAAAUGAAAAACUAUAAAACUAUUUACUUAGGCUGGUGUUGAACAGCCUGAUGGCAGCUGGGAUGAAGGACCUGCGGUAGCGUUCCUUCUUGCAUCUUUGAAGAGAUUCUCAGGGUUCUUGCUCCUUUUGACCAAGCUACAAGACAACUGUCUGAGGGAAUAAAGGGUCUCUGGGUCGACGGUCAUUUCCAUGAUGAGAAUGCUCCACAUUGAGCUUCAACGUCAGGCCACAACAGUGACAAAAACAGCUGCUCAGCAACUGGCUGAAAACCUGAGGAAGCGGCUAACUGACACUAUUUGCGGCAUGGAAUCUCUCAGUGUGAUGACUCUGGCAACUCUGUUAGAUCCCAGAUUUAAAAAGAAUGGAUUUGCUAGUCAGCAAAAGGCAAGUGAAGCGGCGAAGAGACUGCAGUCAGAAUGUGCAGAAGAAAUGAGGAGCCAAGAGCCUGACCCAAGAGAAGAAGAACCUAGCUCUUCACAUGGGUCAGAACCCAGUUCAGGUAUGAAAAUACAUUUCUUUGGAACUUUGUGAUGUGAUAUAUCAUGUGAUAAUAAAGUAAUGAUUAACUAUUUUUUUAGGGCACAAUCCCUGGAAAACUUUAGAUAUGGAGGUUGCAGAGACCCAGAAUACGAGGAACGCAACAUCUGACUUCAUUAUUGAAGUCCAACGCUACCUGGCAGAAACAAACACACCUAGAAACCAAGAUUCUUUGCAAUAUUGGAAAUGGAACCAGGAAAUAUACCCACAUCUUCAUCAACUUGCACUUAAAAACUCUGCUCACCAUCCUCGCCUGUACCAUGUGAAAGAGUAUUUUCCAAGGCUGGGGAGCUGGUGUGUAAGAGGAGAAAUCGCCUUGGAGUAAAGACACUCCAAAAACUUUUGUUUCUCAAUAAAAAUUCAUGAACUAA